rnacentral:rRNA from 1 species
GACGAACCGUCCAACCGUUAUUCGGAAUCACUGGGCUUAAAGGGUGCGUAGGCGGCGCGGAAAGUUGGGUGUGAAAUCCCUCGGCUUAACCGAGGAACUGCGCCCAAAACUUCCGUGCUCGAGGGAGAUAGAGGUGAGCGGAACUUAGGGUGGAGCGGUGAAAUGCGUUGAUAUCCUAAGGAACACCGGUGGCGAAAGCGGCUCACUGGAUCUCUUCUGACGCUGAGGCACGAAAGCUAGGGUAGCGAACGGG